rnacentral:misc_RNA from 1 species
CUUCAUCAAGUCAAGCUCUUUGCGUUCAGCUACCGGCCCUCUUCUCUAGUGAUCCGAUCUGAAGCUCUUCCUCGCCCCGCCUCCCUAACGACUCCGCGGCCCUUCUGCUUUCUCCUUCUACCCUCCCCCCUCUCUCCUCCCAUACAUAAACAGGCAGGCGCUUCUCUGUCUCUCUACAACUCGCCGCACCCCCUCCCCCAACUCAGGCCUGCGCCUCGUUUAGCCCUUUUCGGUGUGCCUGUUCCACGUGCAUCACCACCAUGGCUAGCAACGUGAACGAGGAGUCUCACGCGCUCUACGGGGCCGUAGUGGUGCGCCUGGUGGAUCGCGUGAUGCUCUGCAAGACGCCUAACGUGCCCACGGACGGCUUCACGAUUCCAGGCACCGCAUGGGCGGACCUCGUCAGCCGCUGCAGCGCCCCGCACUUCCGCACCUCUGCGUUCCUAAACGUGACAGCCGACAAAGACCCGAAACAGGAGGUGACCUUGUCCUACCACCUCAUGACGGAUGACGCGUUUGGCUACGGCAUUAUCGGUGCCAAGGCAGUCAGCCGCCGAGACGGGCACGCCGCGCUGGACGAGCUGGCGGCUCUCUUCAAGAAGAUGUUUGUGGAGCCCCCGUCGACGCUGAAUCCAAAGCUGGCGGACGUUUUUGUGCGUCCGGCGCGCGACCUGCUGAUGAAGCACAGCAGCGGCGCCGCCGCGGGCUCGGCGGAGAACAAGGUGACGAAGGUGAAGCUAGCCGUCGAUGAAGUAAAGAACAUGGCGCUGGACAACGUCGAACGUGUUAUUCAGCGUGGACAGCGCAUCGACGACAUUGUGCAGGCCACCGAUGAUCUGCAGUUUCAAGCAGAGGGCUUCCAGCGGAGCAGCCGUGAUCUGCGCAACCAGAUGUGGUGGAGCUCGAUGAAGGGGCGCAUUAUGCUGGCGGGCGCCGUGGGUUUCAUGCUAUUAUUGGUCUACUUCACGUUCUUUGCUGGCAACGGCAGCAAGAAGACGGUGACAACGCAAGCUCCGAGCUCGGCACCGAAGUAGCCGUUGGAACGGUCUCCUUCUUUUGCUUCGCUGUUUGCGAGGUAGCGAAGGGCAGGGAGCUAGGGACGAAGGAGGGGGCGGAGCGCAUGCACUUGCGCAAGAUGAAGGUGGGCGGCUGGCCCCUCCCCCUCCCCCAACAUGUACGAGGGAUUGCUGUGCGGAGAGAGAGAGGUGUGGACGAUGAAGCACAGCAGUAUCAGAGUCUGCCUGCGAAUAUUUCGCCUUUCACGACUGUCACUCUCUCAUCUGUGUGUGUGUGUAUCCCUUGCCGUUUGAGAAAGGCGCACUCCCGAGUCGCUUCGCCUCGGUCCUCUGCCGCGCUCUUCGUCCCUCACGGCAGCCGCUGCCUCCACCGCACUAGACCGAACGCCGGUAUAUGGAGUCUGUGUGUGUGUGUGUUUGGUGCUCUGCACCCCCCCCCUUCAACUCUACGCCACAUGAUGUUGUCCCCUUCGCUUCGGCUGUAUUGUUCUCCUUGCAUGACUGCUUGCGGUACUCUUCCGCUCGGCGUUCGCGUGCUUUACUGCCUUCUCUGCUGCGCCUCCUUUUUCUCGCGCGCUCUCUUGUUUGGUGUGCGUCAUGCACGUCUGUCCGUCCCCCAUCUCCGCCCACCCCUCUGCACCUCUACUCUGUCGAUUCGUUGCAUGCUCAGUGACUGCAACCCUCGUUCUCCUCUUUGUGAUGUUGAUCUCGUCGUCUGGUGACCUGUUUCGCACGUGCUGUCCCGCCUCCCUCCCCCCUUCCUCCUCCUCCUCCUCCUCCCACACACCUACACAGCCCCAGCACCAGUCUCUAGCCCCGGCCAUUUCUUGUGGCUGCUUCCGCUGCGUCAUGUACGUGUUCAGGAGUUCUGUGCGUGUCUGUCUGCCGUCAAACGCUAAGUCCUGUCUCCCGUCUCUCUCCCUCUCGGCCCCCGCCCCUCUCCUCCUGUCUUGUUCACCCCUGUGCUUCUCCCAGUUAUCCUCAUGUUGUGUUCCUGGAAAAAGGAGCGGACGGGGGUUCUCGUGUCGCCGGCUCUGCCCCUCCCUCCUCCCUUGUCAACUUAACAGACGACGGAGAC